AUUGAACGCUGGCGGCAUGCCUUACACAUGCAAGUCGAACGGCAGCACGGGUGCUUGCACCUGGUGGCGAGUGGCGAACGGGUGAGUAAUACAUCGGAACGUACCUUAUCGUGGGGGAUAACGCAGCGAAAGCUGUGCUAAUACCGCAUACGACCUGAGGGGGAAAGCGGGGGAUCGCAAGACCUCGCGCGAUUAGAGCGGCCGAUGCCUGAUUAGCUAGUUGGUGGGGUAAAAGCCCACCAAGGCGACGAUCAGUAGCUGGUCUGAGAGGACGAUCAGCCACACUGGGACUGAGACACGGCCCAGACUCCUACGGGAGGCAGCAGUGGGGAAUUUUGGACAAUGGGGGCAACCCUGAUCCAGCAAUGCCGCGUGAGUGAAGAAGGCCUACGGGUUGUAAAGCUCUUUUGUCAGGGAAGAAACACCGGCUCUAACACAGUCCGGGAAUGACGGUACCUGAAGAAUAAGCACCGGCUAACUACGUGCCAGCCGCCGCCGUAA
rnacentral:rRNA from 1 species